GUCUACAGCCAUGCUACCCUGAACAAUCCCAAUCCUGUCUGAUCUCGGAAGCUAAGUAGAGUAAGACCUGGUUAGUACUUGGAUGGGAGACCAUCUAGGAAGACGAGGUGCUACAGGCG
rnacentral:rRNA from 1 species